GAUUGGGACCAAAAUGCUGUGCUUUCAACUUGUCGAAUCAUCAUUUUCAGGUGCUGCAGCGAGGAAAUUUUUAGUCUACAGGAUCUCACCUUUGUAGAAAAGGUUUCUUCCUUCAGUGGUCCCAGAAGAAAUAAGCACCCUACAGGCUCAAGGAUCAGCUACCUGCUACAGCUCUGAGAAGGGAUGUGGAGGUCAGGUCAUGCAGUUGAAUUCCCCUUUUUCACUAGACUCUGCCAAGAAGCAUCAAGCUCAAAGCAGGAACAGGAGCUGUCAGAGAUCCUAUGUGCUACACUACACCUCUCCUUUGGUGCCCCACAAGAGAGAGUGCAUCAGCACAGUCCAGCAGACAUCAGACCUUGUGUCAGUUUUCUGAGUGACUAUUGCUGCAGGAGAUCCAGUGUCCGUUGGCUGUGUCUUGCUGGGUGUGCAGACUUCCUUUCCCCACCCUCAUUAGACUGA
rnacentral:lncRNA from 1 species